CGAAGGGGGCUAGCGUUGUUCGGAUUUACUGGGCGUAAAGCGCACGUAGGCGGAUCGUUAAGUCGGGGGUGAAAUCCUGGAGCUCAACUCCAGAACUGCCUUCGAUACUGGCGAUCUUGAGUCCGGAAGAGGUGAGUGGAACUCCUAGUGUAGAGGUGGAAUUCGUAGAUAUUAGGAAGAACACCGGUGGCGAAGGCGGCUCACUGGUCCGGUACUGACGCUGAGGCGCGAAAGCGUGGGGAGCAAACAGGAUUAGAUACCCUGGUAGUCCACGCCGUAAACUAUGAGAGCUAGCCGUUGGAGGGUUUACCCUUCAGUGGCGCAGCUAACGCAUUAAGCUCUCCGCCUGGGGAGUACGGUCGCAAGAUUA
rnacentral:rRNA from 1 species